rnacentral:rRNA from 1 species
CCUACGGGAGGCAGCAGUGGGGAAUUUUGGACAAUGGGGGCAACCCUGAUCCAGCCAUUCCGCGUGAGUGAAGAAGGCCUUCGGGUUGUAAAGCUCUUUCGCAAGGGAAGAAAACUUAUGAUCGAAUAAAUCAUGAGGUUGACGGUACCUUGAUAAGAAGCACCGGCUAACUACGUGCCAGCAGCCGCGGUAAUACGUAGGGUGCGAGCGUUAAUCGGAAUUACUGGGCGUAAAGCGUGCGCAGGCGGUUUUGUAAGUCGGAUGUGAAAUCCCCGGGCUCAACCUGGGAACUGCGUUCGAAACUGCAAGGCUAGAGUGUGUCAGAGGGGGGUAGAAUUCCACGUGUAGCAGUGAAAUGCGUAGAGAUGUGGAGGAAUACCAAUGGCGAAGGCAGCCCCCUGGGAUAACACUGACGCUCAUGCACGAAAGCGUGGGGAGCAAACAGGAUUAGAUACCCUGGUAGUCCACGCCCUAAACGAUGUCAACUAGUUGUUGGUAGAGUAAAAUCUAUGAGUAACGUAGCUAACGCGUGAAGUUGACCGCCUGGGGNGGUACGGUCGCAGAUAAACUACAANAGAGUAGACGCGUGAGACGUGACCGAACGGACGACGACGACGGGGAGGUUAGG